UUGCCUACGGGAGGCAGCAGUGAGGAAUAUUGGUCAAUGGGAGAGAUCCUGAACCAGCCAAGCCGCGUGAGGGAAGACGGCCCUAUGGGUUGUAAACCUCUUUUGUCGGGGAACAAAGGCGGAGACGCGUCUCCGGAUGAGUGUACCCGAAGAAAAAGCAUCGGCUAACUCCGUGCCAGCAGCCGCGGUAAUACGGAGGAUGCGAGCGUUAUCCGGAUUUAUUGGGUUUAAAGGGUGCGCAGGCGGGAGGUCAAGUCAGCGGUAAAAUGUCGGGG
rnacentral:rRNA from 1 species